AGUGAACGCUGGCGGUAGGCCUAACACAUGCAAGUCGAACGGCAGCACAGUAAGAGCUUGCUCUUACGGGUGGCGAGUGGCGGACGGGUGAGGAAUACAUCGGAAUCUACUUUUUCGUGGGGGAUAACGUAGGGAAACUUACGCUAAUACCGCAUACGACCUACGGGUGAAAGCAGGGGAUCUUCGGACCUUGUGCGAUUGAAUGAGCCGAUGUCGGAUUAGCUAGUUGGCGGGGUAAAGGCCCACCAAGGCGACGAUCCGUAGCUGGUCUGAGAGGAUGAUCGGCCACACUGGAACUGAGACACGGUCCAGACUCCUACGGGAGGCAGCAGUGGGGAAUAUUGGACAAUGGGCGCAAGCCUGAUCCAGCCAUACCGCGUGGGUGAAGAAGGCCUUCGGGUUGUAAAGCCCUUUUGUUGGGAAAGAAAAGCAGCAGGUUAAUACCCCGCUGUUCUGACGGUACCCAAAGAAUAAGCACCGGCUAACUUCGUG
rnacentral:rRNA from 1 species